ensembl:snoRNA small nucleolar RNA SNORD113/SNORD114 family
UGGACCAAUGAUGACCACCGGUGGCUUCUGAGUCACGGACGAUGAAUAGUAUGUGUCUGGAACUCUGAGGUCCAA